rnacentral:rRNA from 1 species
UUUCCAAGCUUGCUUGGGAUGCCAGAUAUGUGACGACGGGUGAUAACGCGUAAGUAACCUGCCCCUAAGUAAGAAUACUUCUGAGAAAUUAGAGCUAAUACUAUAUGUGGCGGUGGAGGUAAUGCUUCACCACUAAAGCCUUCGGGCGCUUAGGGAUGGGCUUGCGUCCGAUUAGUUGGUUGGUAGGGUAAUGGCUUACCAAGGCGAUGAUCGGUAGCUGGUUUGAGAGGACAUUCAGCCACACUGGGAUUGAGAUACGGCCCAGACUCCUACGGGAGGCAGCAGCAAGGAAUUUUGUGCAAUGGGCGAAAGCCUGACACAGCGACGCCGCGUGGGGGAUGAAGGCCUUCGGGUUGUAAACCCCUUUUCUCAGGGAAGAAUAAUGACGGUACCUGAGGAAUAAGUCUUGGCUAACUACGUGCCAGCAGCCGCGGUAAUACGUAGGAGGCGAGCGUUAUCCGGAUUUACUGGGCGUAAAGAGGGCGUAGGCGGUCUUUCAAGUCGAUUGUAAAAUCUCCCGGCUUAACUGGGAGGGGACAUUCGAUACUGUUGGACUAGAGAGCAGCAGGAGGAGGUGGAAUUCCCGGUGGAGUGGUGAAAUGUGUAGAUAUCGGGAGGAACACCAGUGGCGAAAGCGGCCUCCUAGGUUGUUUCUGACGCGUGAGGUCCGAAAGCGUGGGUAGCGAACAGGAUCAGAUACCCUGGUAGUCCACGCCGUAAACAGAUGGACACCAGGUAUAGGGAGGUAUCCGACCCUCCUCUGUGCCCGGAAGCCUAACGCAUAAGUGUCCGCCGGGGAAGCCGCAGGCUAAACUCAAGGAUUGACGG